rnacentral:sRNA from 1 species
UGUCCUGAAUGGUGGUGCCUCGCUCUUCUCUGCUCUGGCCACGGUGCUGUGUGAGGCCGGGGCACGUGUGUCUCUAUGGCAACAUCCGGCUGGCCUAUGUCUACCUGGACAGUGAGGUAAGAGUCUUGACUUCCCAGGUGGAACCUGGGCCUGCCUGUGGUCAAGAGUUUCCUGAGUCUGAAUUUGAGGGUGGUCCAUGCUGAGGGCUCUGGGGUUGUGAUGAGUAGGGAAUGGAGCCUUCUGUUGCCACAUGGCUGCCUGUGCCUGGGUUCCCCAGUGGCUCCAAAGUUCCAGUCUCUGAGAUCCCUGGGGUUGAUGUAGAAGCCAAGAGCCAGACCCAGAAACAGCAAGGUAGGAACAGAGCAGGGUAGACCUAAGCAUGACACCCAAGAGUGAUGAGGGGGUCCCUGAUGUGAUGGGUUGGGGGUGGAUGGCAGUAAGAGGGAGGGACCCCACCUGCUUUUCCAGAGACUCUUCUGAGGAGGCUGGGGAUUACAGGGGAGGAGAGGCCUGAGAGUUCAUGUGUAUUUUGGGGGGCAAUGGUCACUGAAUGUGGCUGGUGGCUCUGAUGGGUCUUUUUCCAGGUCACUGGGCUAGACACACGCCCCUUCCAGCUCACAGUGGAGAAGCUGGAGAUGGCCCUGAGAGAAGCUCACUCUGAGGUCUGGGGAUCAAAUCAAACCUGAGGCUGGGUGUGGGUGGGUCUGAGCAGGGUCUGGACCCCUCUUCUUGUGACUGAUCUCCUCCCGGGAGUAGGGUUGAUACCCGGUGAUUGGGACAGACAGGUAGGGUGGUAGCACAGAAUUAUUCUGGGAGUCAGGCAGAACCCUGCCCAGGGAGGGUCUUCCCUUUCAAAACAGACUCUCAGACCUCAGUUCACAGAGAAUCAACCAGGGAGCAUCACUAAAGAUACCCCCAUCCCUGAUCCAUCUGAUUAUGAUUCAGUGGGUCAAGUAUGGAGUAUAGGAGUCUGUGGUUUAACAAGUCUCCCUGGUAGUUUGAGGGGGCAAUCUUGCUCACUGUGGGGGGACCUGAGGACUCCCAAAGAAGAGCAGAGACCAGUAUUCCAGUGGUUCCUUUCCAGCCUACUUUUCAAAAAUCUACUUAAUUUUUUUUACUUCUGUCAUGAAAGCUAUACAUACUCACUGUAGGAAUUUUGAAAGUGCAAAAGGCCAACCCAAAAUUCUACCAACAAAGGUAACCUACUGGCAUUUGGGUAUAUUUUUUCUCUGGGCCUUGUCCUCCGCCUUUAUCUGAUGCUGCAGAUGUAAUUCUGUGUUCCGCUUGUUUGCUUCAUGUUGUGUUAUGAACAUGUCCCCCUCAAAUCUCCCUGGGAGCCUUCCAGCGAUCAGCCCCCUUUGACUGUGUGGCUCUGGCCUUGGGGAAGAGCUGAGGGUCAUCUGCCCUAACGGAUGGUUUCAGGGUGUGAAGGUCAAAGGCCUCAUCCUCAUCAGCCCCCAGAACCCUCUGGGUGAUGUAUACUCCCCUGAAGAGCUACAGGAGUACCUGGUAUUUGCCAAGAGGUGAGGCACCUCACACUGGCCCCGACAGAGCGUCUGGGCAGCCUGGGGUUCCAAUGCGGGUUUGGUGCAGGUUUUUCUACUCUCUUGACCCCACUGUGGGCUGCUACUUGCUUGGGCCCUUCCUUGGCAGUGGAGCGGGGAAGCAGGGAUUUGUGGGAUGCCCAUUCCUCUUUAUCUUUCACUCUUUAUAACAAUAGCUAUCAAUUAUCGCACACUCUAGGGGCCAGGCACCAUGCUAAGCACUUUAUGUGCCUCGUACAAUCCUCACAACAACGCUAUCAUACAAUCCUCACAACAACCGUUUAUGUGCCUCAUACAAUCCUCACAACAACCCUCAUACAAUCCUUACAACAAUCCUCACAACAACCCUACUGAUGCUGUUAUCACAUCCAGCUCACUGAGCCUUAGAGUGGUCAAGUGAGGGGUGGAUCCAGACUUGAACCUGGGUCUCUCCGACUCGAGCCCUUGUGCAUGACCCUGCCCCUCCAUGGAGGUGCCCGGGAGCUCCUUUUCUCCCCUGCAGUGCUUCAAAAGCUCCUCUGUCACCUGCUCUGUAUGUGUGGCUUUCUGUUUGAAAAAAACAGAAUAAAGAAUGGUGUUCUUGGAAAAACAAGUUUGGUAACCCCGGGCUAGAUGCCGGCCCCUCUGGAUUUCUGAUGUAUUGCCUCCCCACCCUGUGGGACGCAUUUGCCCUACACACUAAGUCUCUCCUCCCCACCCCUGCCUCACUCCAGGCACAGGCUGCAUGUGAUUGUGGAUGAGGUCUACAUGCUGUCCGUGUUUGAGAAGUCUGUUGGGUACCGCAGUGUCCUAAGCCUGGAAAGGCUGCCUGACCCCCAGAGGACCCAUGUGAUGUGGGCAACCAGCAAGGACUUCGGGAUGUCUGGGCUCCGCUUUGGCACGCUGUACACAGAAAACCAGGAUGUGGCCACUGCCGUGGCUUCCCUCUGCCGCUACCACGGCCUCAGUGGCUUGGUCCAGUACCAGAUGGCGCAGCUGCUCCGGGACCGUGACUGGAUCAACCAGGUGUACCUGCCGGAAAACCAUGCCCGGCUCAAGGCUGCCCACACCUAUGUCUCAGAAGAGCUCAGGGUGUUGGGGAUCCCCUUCUUGAGUCGUGGGGCUGGCUUCUUCAUCUGGGUUGACUUGAGAAAGUACCUGCCCAAGGGCACCUUUGAGGAGGAAAUGCUGCUCUGGCGCCGCUUUUUGGACAACAAGGUGCUGCUGUCCUUUGGCAAGGCCUUCGAGUGUAAAGAGCCUGGUUGGUUUCGCUUUGUCUUCUCAGACCAGGCCCACCGGCUUUGCCUGGGGAUGCAGAGGGUCCGGCAGGUGCUUGCAGGCAAAUCCCAAGUGGCAGAAGACCCCCGUCCCUCUCAGAGCCAGGAGCCAAGUGACCAACGCAGGUGAGCUGGUCAUUGUCUCGUGGCCAGAGGGCCCAGCAGCCACUGUGGACCUGGGGCAUUCCAGGGCUGCAGAAGACUGACUGUGGAUGUGCCAUUUGCCAGGAAGGUAUCUAACUUGGCUUUGUGCCUGAAGAACUGUUUCUUGUCUUUCGCUGUAGCAGUGGGAAACUCCUUAAGCUGUGGUUCAGCCUGGGCCCUCCCUCUCUCCUAUUAAACAAAACUAGGAGAGUCCAUAUGUCUCCAUUGUGAGUUAUUUAGAAUGGAGGAGUCGUGACUGCUUCUAACCAGAGCCUCAGCCCCUCUGAGGACGUGAAAAGAAAACAAACAACUUGUACCUUCUUUCUGAUAUCACCGUCAUUCCUCUUUCUUUGUCACCAAGGAAACGAGUCAAAGGAACAGCACAUACAGGAGAGUUUGUAGAAAAAUAAAAAAAA